UCCUUCACCUUAGUGCAGUGCUUCUCAAUUAUUUUCUGUUACGCCCCCCCUAGCAAGAAGAAAACUAUUCGCGCCCCCCACUCCCCACCGUGACUAUCCAUCUCUGCAUAACAUUUUAUCCUUAUUAACAUUAAAGAAAAAAAGAAAGACAUAUGGUCAAACUUACAAAGAAUAACUUUAUCAAAUCGUGUUUUAAGUCUGCAACAGAAAAGAUUUUAAGUGCAUCAAUGCCUGAAAUUAAGAAUAAAUAAAUCCUUGUUUAAACUGUAAACAUGUUUGACCAACUAAUUGCACCAUUGCAAAAUUAAAUCAAAUCAAUAAAU